GACGAACGCUGGCGGCGUGCCUAACACAUGCAAGUCGAACGGGGUGAUUCCUUCGGGGAUCACUUAGUGGCGAACGGGUGAGUAACGCGUGAGGAACCUGCCUCUCAGUGGGGGACAACAGUUGGAAACGACUGCUAAUACCGCAUAAUGUAGCGAGACCGCAUGAUCUUGCUACCAAAGCUUUAGGUGCUGAGAGAUGGCCUCGCGUCUGAUUAGCUGGUUGGUGGGGUAACGGCCCACCAAGGCGACGAUCAGUAGCCGGUCUGAGAGGAUGAACGGCCACAGUGGGACUGAGAUACGGCCCAGACUCCUACGGGAGGCAGCAGUGGGGAAUAUUGGGCAAUGGGGGAAACCCUGACCCAGCAACGCCGCGUGGAGGAAGAAGGCCCUCGGGUUGUAAACUUCUUUUACCAGGGACGAAGAACGUGACGGUACCUGGAGAAAAAGCCACGGCUAACUACGUGCCAGCAGCCGCCGUAAAAC
rnacentral:rRNA from 1 species